rnacentral:misc_RNA from 1 species
AAAAUAACUAAUAUGCCGAAGAGACGGCAACCGUCGAGUUUGAAACAUUUGUGCAUUUCUGACAUUGCUUGGACUUUUGAACGAAUUUGGUGGAAAGAUUAUUUUGAUAAUUUUGGAGACAUGCAGUGUUUACAUGUUUUGGGACCCUUCGAUGCAAUUCAAGGAUGACUUAUUUUUAACGUCACCUUCAAUAAACACACAAAAGCUACGGAAGCGGCAUCUGGAAUGGUGGAAGAAAUCAUGAAGGUGAUGGAGACAAAUGGUCAACUACAAGGGAAAUACUUGCAGAUCCUCUUCACUGACAGACUUCGUCAUUUGCAUCUAAAGGGGACCAUAAUUACAAACCAAAUAGUUAAACUUCUUGCUCAGAGGGCACGGAAAUUAGAAACUUUGCAUCUGAAGUAUGCCAACAAAAUUUCCAAGAACCUGUUGAUUAAUUUAGUGGAGAAUCUGCCAGCUAUUAAAGAACUCAACCUCACAGACACAAAGUGUGAUGACAAUAUGCUCCAAAUUAUCAGUUUGAAUUGUCCUCAUUUGGUCACACUUUCUGUGAUGAAUUGUCAUGGUGUAACAGACAGAGGUGUUCAGUCAAUUUGCUCCGGACAAACCCGGAAAUUGCAGAAUAUUUCCCUUCAAGAUUCCGGUGCUACUGAACAAUCAGUCAUUCAGUUGCUAAGAACUUUACCUGAGCUGAAGGAAGUGGAGAUAGACAAUAAUAUAAGUGGACUUGUGCAGGUUAUUGAGGAGGACAUCGUGAAUGGGAAGAUGGACAGUAAAUAUGGCAUCCGGAAAAUCCACUGGGACACCUCCGUGCCUCUUUCCACACACCUUUCCCUCAUUGUUGAUCAUUGUCCAUUUGUUACAGAUGUCACUUGCCAUGGCGUCAUUAGUGGAGACGUUUUAAAGAAAUUAUCAUGUAUCAAGACCAUGAAAAAAUUGAACCUCUCUUAUGGUCAUGGAUAUGCUGGACAUCAUGAUUUGGGGGAGUUUGUUGAAUUCUUGCAGGAAGUAGGGAUUCAGAUCACAGAUUUGUUCCUGUCUGACACAAUGUUGAUGCCAGUUAGGGAAAUUGGGGUUUUCUGUUUGAAUUUGAAGGCUCUGACCAUGAUAUGCGACGGUAACCUUACUAGAGCAAGGGCUGUUCAGGCAAGUGAAGAACUCUUUCACCCUGACAGUUUUAAGAAAUUAGAAAUCAUCAAACUAUUUGACAAUAAUGUAAUCAGGUCAGAAGAUACCGUAACAUUUUUGUUAUGCCAAGCUGAAAACGUCCGGAUCUUAGAUGUACACAAAUGCAUGGCUUUCACAUCAGAAGGCCUGGAUGCUGCAUAUCAAAAACACGGAUUUAAACAGCUAGAAAGCUUAAAGUUAGACACUUGUCACAAUUUUGAUGAUAUUGACAUUUUGGAACUGAUGCUAGAAACUGAAAAUAAAUUAAGUGUUAUGCACUUAUGUUCAUGUUUUAAUAUCACCUUUGUACACAAUGAUGAACUCCAACUCGCCUUGCAGGAAGGUGAAAAUUGGGAUAUUGAAUAUCAUUGGGAAUAAUACAUUGUACAUGCAUAGAAUAUACAUGAAUUACCAUAGUACUAGAACAUAAGCAGAGUGUGCCAAUUUUUAUAAAAUUAUUUUUGUAUUUUGUAUUCAAUAAUUGUGAUUUUUAUGUAAUUUUUUGUAUCCUGAACUUCUAAAUGGUUACAUAGGAUUGUAUACAUGCCUGUAAAACAUUUUAUGUGACAGUUUAUGUAUAUCUACAUUUGAGUAUAUCCAAGAUCUCUUGUCUUAAUUAUUAUGAAUGUUGAACAAAAGCUAGUUAUAUUAUACAAUACAUGUGUAUAAAGGUUGUUGAACAGUGAAGACUUUCUCUUUUAAUCAAAUUCUCUUUGACAUUGAACAAAUUAACUACAUGUACAUUGUAUUGGAUACAUAUAAUUAUUAAACAUAUCCAAUAUGAUAUUUGCAUGAUUAUCAUUGUUGAGCAGUGAGGAAUUUAUUCUUGGGAAGGGAUUUGAAAGUAAAAGAUGUGAAGACGCUU